rnacentral:tRNA from 1 species
GGUAAAAUGGCUGAGUUUAGGCAAUAAUCUGUAAAUUUAUUAACGAAAUUAAUUUUCUUUUACCA